UCGGGGCGUCAGCCCCCCGGCAUCCGGGCGCUACCGUUUAUCCCGCGUGGUUCCCUCAAGACGGUGUCCCGUCCAAGUCUGG
rnacentral:ncRNA from 1 species